GUUUAGUGGCUUUAAAUGUACUUAUAUUAUAAUUUUAAUUCGGACUAAAUUUCAAGAGGUUAAAAAUUUAUGUAUUAGUUGACAAAAAAAAGUAGUUAUUGAUCAAAAUUUUGAGUAGGCUUUCUUUUUUUUUUUUUUUUUUGAGGAUUAUUUUGUGUAGUUUUAUAGACAAAGACCCUUUUAAAAAUUCCAAUUUUUUUCUUCGGUUGGUUCAAUAUUUGCCUCCAAAUUUAAUCGAAUCAACCAAAGUUUUGUAAGAUCUAGUUUGUUUGUUUGACUUAUUUAUUUAUUAUCUUUUAGGAAUUCGAUUUUGAUGGUUUAUUUGUUGUCAUGAUCAGGUUGAUUGUUCAUUGUUUGUAGGUUUGUGUCACCUAAUGAAGUAAGUUAUUAAUAUUUUAUGUUGUUUAAAUUAAAGGGUGUUUGGCUAUUUAAUUUUAAAACC
rnacentral:lncRNA from 1 species